AACGCACCUUGCGCUCCUUGGUAUUCCGAGGAGCAUGCCUGUUUGAGUGUCAUUAAAUUCUCAACCCUAUCAGCUUUUGCUGGUAAGGCUUGGAUGUGGAGGUUUUUUGCAGGCUUCUAACGAGGUCAGCUCCUCUGAAAUGUAUUAGUAGUACCUAUGUGGAACUGUCUAUUGGUGUGAUAAUUAUCUACGCUGUGGACAUCUGCUCUAUAAAAAUGGGUUAUGCUGCUUCUAAUCGUCCGUAUGGACAACUAUAAUGACAAUUUGACCUCAAAUCAGGUAGGACUACCCGCUGAACUUAA
rnacentral:misc_RNA from 1 species